rnacentral:tRNA from 1 species
GCUUUCGUGGUGUAACUGGAAGCACGCUCGACUCGUAUUCGGGAGGUUCGGAGUUCGAAUCUCGGCGACGUUA